GAUGAACGCUGGCGGCGUGCCUAAUACAUGCAAGUCGAGCGAACGGACGAGAAGCUUGCUUCUCUGAUGUUAGCGGCGGACGGGUGAGUAACACGUGGAUAACCUACCUAUAAGACUGGGAUAACUUCGGGAAACCGUAGCUAAUACCGGAUAAUAUUUUGAACCGCAUGGUUCAAAAGUGAAAGACGGUCUUGCUGUCACUUAUAGAUGGAUCCGCGCUGCAUUAGCUAGUUGGUAAGGUAACGGCUUACCAAGGCAACGAUGCAUAGCCGACCUGAGAGGGUGAUCGGCCACCCUGGAACUGAGACACGGUCCAGACUCCUACGGGAGGCAGCAGUAGGGAAUCUUCCGCAAUGGGCGAAAGCCUGACGGAGCAACGCCGCGUGAGUGAUGAAGGUCUUCGGAUCGUAAAACUCUGUUAUUAGGGAAGAACAUAUGUGUAAGUAACUGUGCACAUCUUGACGGUACCUAAUCAGAAAGCCACGGCUAACUACGUG
rnacentral:rRNA from 1 species